GUCGUGAGAUGUUGGGUUAAGUCCCGCAACGAGCGCAACCCUUAUCCUAUGUUGCCAGCGCGUCAUGGCGGGGACUCAUAGGAGACUGCCGGGGUCAACUCGGAGGAAGGUGGGGAUGACGUCAAGUCAUCAUGCCCCUUACGUCUUGGGCUGCACACAUGCUACAAUGGCCGGUACAAAGGGCUGCGAUACCGCAAGGUGGAGCGAAUCCCAAAAAGCCGGUCUCAGUUCGGAUCGGGGUCUGCAACUCGACCCCGUGAAGUCGGAGUCGCUAGUAAUCGCAGAUCAGCAUUGCUGCGGUGAAUACGUUCCCGGGCCUUGUACACACCGCCCGUCACGUCACGAAAGUCGGUAACACCCGAAGCCGGUGGCCCAACCCUUGUGGGGGGAGCCGUCGAAGGUGGGACCGGCGAUUGGGACGAAGUCGUAACAAGGUAGCCGUACCGGAAGGUGCGGCUGGAUCACCUCCUUUCUAAGGAGCUUUCUGGCUGGGUGUCCUCUGUAUUGGAGGGUGUCUGGUCCAAAGCGAAAACCACCCGGAUGGUUGGUCUGGGUGCUCAUGGGUGUGGAACGCUGACUGUGUUUCUGUCUGGUCUGGGUCUGUUGUCCGGGGUUCCUGUGUGUUCUCUGGGUGGUGGGU
rnacentral:rRNA from 1 species